GGUACCUUGACCGAGUGGUUAGGUGGCGGUCUGCAAAACCGUAUACAGCAGUUCGAAUCUGCUAGGUACCUCCA
rnacentral:tRNA from 1 species